CUUUUCUUUUUUCCUCUCUCUCCUUCUCUCUCUUAUGAAAGCCACCGCUACUCUCCUCAUCUCAAAAACAACUUCUCUAGCAGCACUAAAUCAACACUCCUCUCUCUCUCUCUCUCUCUCUCUAGCUCUACCCUCGACAACAUCUCUCUACCAACGACAUGUUCUCACUUUUCUAGCCAAAACAGCCGUCACUGGUCACCUUCACCAUCUACAUUUCACAUUUAGAGGGAGUUGAUGACAGAAUAGAUUGCCUCAAGAUGAGUCUGUUAUAGGAAUCACAGAUACCUUCUGUGACACUCUCAACUGUGUUAGAUCUCUAAAUAUUUUCCCGCUUAUGUUACUUUACAAAAUAUUUUUUUUAACUAUGCUAGCUUACCAAAACACUCUUAAAUCAAGAUAAUAUAAUUAGUUUUUUACA